UACGUAGGGGGCAAGCGUUGUCCGGAAUCAUUGGGCGUAAAGAGCGUGUAGGCGGUCCGGUAAGUCGGCUGUGAAAGUCCAAGGCUCAACCUUGGGAUGCCGGUCGAUACUGCCGGACUAGAGUUCGGAAGAGGCGAGUGGAAUUCCCGGUGUAGCGGUGAAAUGCUUAGAUAUGACAUAGAACACCGAUUGCGAAGGCAGCUAACUGCACGAUCAUUGACACUGAGGCACGAAAGCGUGGGGAGCAAACAGG
rnacentral:rRNA from 1 species